GUGACUCACAGAGCGAGGAGGGAACCUGCGGACUCCUCACACACUUAAGCACUUUGAGCUUGACGGAAGCCCAGGCAUCUCUACCUUAAGAGGAUCUGCGAGGUCAGGGUGACACAAUCCUUCCUUCCCCCAGCACAGCGACCAGAUCAGGCAGAUUACAAGCAGCCCAGCAAGGUCACAACAGCUUCUGUGUCCCAGUUCAUCUUAACUAAGGACGCCAUCUUCUUUUAUUGUUCAAGAAAGAAGUGUCCUUGUCAUACAACAGGAAAAAAAUGCUCUUUUGGCUGUUAGUCCUUCUGAUCCUUUGUGGUUUUCUGUGGAAUUAUAAAAGACAGCUAAAGAUCGCAAACAUCACUGAUAAGUACAUUUUCAUCACUGGGUGUGACACUGGCUUUGGAAACUUGGCAGCCAGAACUUUUGAUAAGAAAGGAUUUCAUGUAAUUGCUGCCUGCCUAACUGAAUCAGGAUCAACAGCUUUAAAGGCAGAAACUUCAGAGAGGCUUCAUACCGUGCUCCUGGAUGUAACUGACCCAGAAAAUGUCAAGAGGGCUGCCCAGUGGGUGAAAAACCAAGUUGGGGAGAAAGGUCUCUGGGGUCUGAUCAACAACGCUGGCAUUCUUGGUGUGCUGGCACCCAAUGACUGGCUGACAGUUGAGGACUACAGAGAACCUGUUGAAGUGAACCUGUUUGGACUCAUCAGUGUCACGUUAAACAUGCUUCCCUUGGUCAAAAAGGCUCGAGGGAGAAUUAUCAAUGUCUCCAGCAUUGGGGGUCGGCUUGCAUUUGGUGGAGGGGGCUAUUCGCCAUCUAAAUAUGCAGUAGAAGGCUUCAAUGACAGCUUAAGGCGGGACAUGAAAGCUUUUGGUGUGCAUGUCGCUUGCAUCGAACCAGGAUUGUUCAAAACCAAUUUGUCAGAUCCAGAAAAGACUGCUGAAAAGAAACUUGCCAUUUGGAAGCAUCUGUCUCCAGACAUCAAACAACAAUAUGGAGAAAGCUACAUUGAGAAAAGCCUAGAACAAUUGAAAGGCACUGCAUCCUUUGUGAACGUGGAUCUGUCCCUGGUGGUGGAGUGCAUGGACCAUGCUCUCACAAGUCUCUUCCCUAAAACCCGUUAUGCUGCUGGAAAAGAUGCCAAAACUUUCUGGAUCCCUCUGUCUCACAUGCCAGCAGUUUUGCAAGACUUUUUAUUGUUGAAACAGAAAGUAGAGCUGGCUAAUCCCAGGGCAGUAUGACUCAGCUGAUGACAAAUACCUGCCCCAGGCUGCGAAAUUGGCUGAUUUCUAGAACACAUCUCCUCAAUCUCAUUCUUUACCUAAUCCAAACUGGACUCAUUUGAAUCAAACUCCUUUUGGUAAAAAGACGGGCUGCCACCAUCACCUUCGAGGUUCCAGGGUCCCUCCUCAAAUUUUUCUUGAGAAGAUGGGCAGUGAUGGCGCCUGCCCAAUAUUUAGUCUUUGCCUGCUGGUUAUAAUGCAUGGAAGGUGGACAGGCUUUCCCAUCCAAAAUGAUUUUUCACCCGUGCCUGCCCCCUGCUUCUAAUCCAUACCACUUAGAGUGACUCCUGAAUGUUAAAUAUUUGUUCCUGAUCAAAAUAUUAAGAGAUAAGUAAAAUAAUUUCCUAAAGGGGGAUUGGAUGUGCUAUCUUGCUGAAAGUAAGAUUCUGAAGGACUGGAACCCGGUUCUGUGGGCUUCAGUGGGGGCAGGAGAAGAAAGGGUAAUGGGGCAAUGUGAGACUGGAAGAAGCUAAGGGACAGCAGAAAAAUACUAGGUAAAAGUGCAAGUAGGAGGGAAGGAAAAGGAGAGAAGGAAUAAGAGGACUGAAAAAGAGAAACAGGUGUAAAAGUGUAGGUAGGGAGAUUCCAGGACCACCAUCUGUGGACAGAUGGUAACAGCAGAGGAACUUGUCAUUCCAAAAGAAGAAAAAUGUACCUGUGUGUUUACCCUGAGGCUUGUAAAUGUAACGAGACAUAGACUCUUUGAUACAACUUACACCUGAGAUGGUUGGGAAAGCCAGUAUGUGAGGUGUCUCUGAAGCCCCAUGAAAAUACAGAGCUAAAUUCAGAGACUCUCUUUUACCAGCAGUUACAGUGAGAGCAGGCCUGCUGCUGGCUCAUUUCAUGGUUCUAAGCUGGGUUGACUCUGAACCCACACCCCAUCCAAAAGAAACUGCCCAAACAGAUGCUUCCCCAAACCCCAGCACCCAGUAUCACUCACAAAGGUUGGUUGAAUAUUUAUACGAAAAAACCCAAAGUGUCAAAUUUUAAUAUCUGUUGCAGGAUAACAUGGGCUUCCCUGGUGGCUAAGAUGGUAAAGAAUCUACCUCUUUGCAGAAGACUGGGAUUCAAUCCCUGGGUUGGGAAGAUCCCCUAGAGAAGGAAAUGGCAACCCUCUCCAGUAUUCAUGCCUGGAGAAUCCCAUAGACAGAGUCUGUCGGGCUACAGUCCAAGGGGUCGCAAAGAGUCAGGCACAACUGAGCAGCUAACAUACUUGAGUAACCACAGAAUAACACAGAGUGAAAGAGUUGGGGAAAUUAUCUAGUGUGUAUAUUUGUGCAUGCAUGUGCAUGCCCACACACACACACACACACUGAAUUUACUGUGAAGAAAAUAUUUAAUAUCUGCUGCUUAAAACCGUGUUCUUUUGAAGAUGUCAGUAAUCCUAUUCAUUUUUACUCACCUUUCUGGAAACAUCUACCUGUGAGGGAGUUUCCUCCUUUGACAUUUACAACAUAUUGAUGACUUUCAAAAAUCAAAUUUCCAAUGGUAUCAGGCCCAUAUGUUUCAUUAUUUUGAGAAAAGAUACACUCAUCCUUUUUACAUGAAAAUGAAGACAGUCACAACAAGAAUGAUAUAGAAAAAUUCUCAAGCAAAGUUAUCUCAACUAUCCUCACUACUGAUCAGUGGACUCAUCUCCAUCUUGGUCCUGCGAGCCCCAGAGACCAUUCCACCUGUACAUCCCUGAUUUCUUCUGGUUGGAAUUAACACCAGGCGACUGUCACUCAUCUUGUCCUUGGAGAUGAAGUUCAUCCACAUCGUUUGCUGAGGCUUCUCCUUCUCACCUUGAAUUCCUAGAUCUUAGGUUCAUUUCAUUGCUUUAAAAAUAUCUAACCUGGGACUUCCCUGGUGGUUCAGUGGCUAAGGCUCCAUGCUCUCGAUUCAGGUGAGCCCGGGUUUGAUCCUUGGUCAGGGAACUGGAUCCCACAUGGCACAGCUAAAGAUCCCACAUGCCCACAUCUAAGACCUGAUGCAGCCAAGUAAAUAAAUAUUAUAAAACAAAUCUAGCCUGCUGCUCC
ensembl:lncRNA